AUGAAUUGCGUUUGAGGCUGUUGCUGGCUUUCCUUUUAAUAAGGGGGAAAGUAUGUGCACGCCUUGCAUUCCAUUUCAAACCACACUCGUGCACCUCAGAGGAGAGUCUCUCUCCUCUUUAUUACAAACCACUCUAUAAAGUCUUUUGUAUUUAUUGGGUAUAAUGAAAAGUA
rnacentral:misc_RNA from 1 species